AGCAGCCGCGGUAAUUCCAGCUCCAAUAGCGUAUAUUAAAGUUGUUGCAGUUAAAAAGCUCGUAGUUGAAUUUCGGGAUCAGUACGCCGGUCGUACCUUCGGUAUGUACUGGUGUUACUGGUUCCUACCUUCUGACGAACCGUCAUGUCAUUAAUUUGGUGUGGCGGGGAAUCAGGACUGUUACUUUGAAAAAUUAGAGUGUUUAAAGCAGGCUCGCGCUUGAAUACAUUAGCAUGGAAUAAUGAAAUAGGACGUUCGAUCCUAUUUUGUUGGUUUCUAGGAUUGACGUAAUGAUUAAUAGGGAUAGUUGGGGGCAUUAGUAUUCAAUUGUCAGAGGUGAAAUUCUUGGAUUUAUUGAAGACUAACUACUGCGAAAGCAUUUGCCAAGGAUGUUUUCAUUAAUCAAGAACG
rnacentral:rRNA from 1 species